rnacentral:rRNA from 1 species
GAUGAACGCUGGCGGCGUGCCUAAUACAUGCAAGUCGAGCGAACGGACGAGAAGCUUGCUUCUCUGAUGUUAGCGGCGGACGGGUGAGUAACACGUGGAUAACCUACCUAUAAGACUGGGAUAACUUCGGGAAACCGGAGCUAAUACCGGAUAAUAUUUUGAACCGCAUGGUUCAAAAGUGAAAGACGGUCUUGCUGUCACUUAUAGAUGGAUCCGCGCUGCAUUAGCUAGUUGGUAAGGUAACGGCUUACCAAGGCAACGAUGCAUAGCCGACCUGAGAGGGUGAUCGGCCACACUGGAACUGAGACACGGUCCAGACUCCUACGGGAGGCAGCAGUAGGGAAUCUUCCGCAAUGGGCGAAAGCCUGACGGAGCAACGCCGCGUGAGUGAUGAAGGUCUUCGGAUCGUAAAACUCUGUUAUUAGGGAAGAACAUAUAUGUAAGUAACUGUGCACAUCUUGACGGUACCUAAUCAGAAAGCCACGGCUAACUACGUGCCAGCAGCCGCGGUAAUACGUAGGUGGCAAGCGUUAUCCGGAAUUAUUGGGCGUAAAGCGCGCGUAGGCGGUUUUUUAAGUCUGAUGUGAAAGCCCACGGCUCAACCGUGGAGGGUCAUUGGAAACUGGAAAACUUGAGUGCAGAAGAGGAAAGUGGAAUUCCAUGUGUAGCGGUGAAAUGCGCAGAGAUAUGGAGGAACACCAGUGGUGAAGGCGACUUUCUGGUCUGUAACUGACGCUGAUGUGCGAAAGCGUGGGGAUCAAACAGGAUUAGAUACCCUGGUAGUCCACGCCGUAAACGAUGAGUGCUAAGUGUUAGGGGGUUUCCGCCCCUUAGUGCUGCAGCUAACGCAUUAAGCACUCCGCCUGGGGAGUACGACCGCAAGGUUGAAACUCAAAGGAAUUGACGGGGACCCGCACAAGCGGUGGAGCAUGUGGUUUAAUUCGAAGCAACGCGAAGAACCUUACCAAAUCUUGACAUCCUUUGACAACUCUAGAGAUAGAGCUUUCCCCUUCGGGGGACAAAGUGACAGGUGGUGCAUGGUUGUCGUCAGCUCGUGUCGUGAGAUGUUGGGUUAAGUCCCGCAACGAGCGCAACCCUUAAGCUUAGUUGCCAUCAUUAAGUUGGGCACUCUAAGUUGACCGCCGGUGACAAACCGGAGGAAGGUGGGGAUGACGUCAAAUCAUCAUGCCCCUUAUGAUUUGGGCUACACACGUGCUACAAUGGACAAUACAAAGGGCAGCGAAACCGCGAGGUCAAGCAAAUCCCAUAAAGUUGUUCUCAGUUCGGAUUGUAGUCUGCAACUCGACUACAUGAAGCUGGAAUCGCUAGUAAUCGUAGAUCAGCAUGCUACGGUGAAUACGUUCCCGGGUCU